rnacentral:tRNA from 1 species
AAUGAACCUUCAAAUACCUAUUUGAACGGAUUUUUAUUCAUCAAUUUGAAUCCUUCCUAAAAAAUAUUCCAC